GGCCAGGCCUGCCAACAAAACUCGCGAGACUUGAGCGCGUCAGAGGGACGUCCUCUCACGGGCCGGAAGUGUAGUCGGCGGAGCGGCUUAGGCGCUUGAAGCACCUCCGAGCUCGGGGCCGUAUCGCGGCUUCUCGGCUCGCGCUUCGCUUCCCUGGGCCGUAGUAAUGGGGGACUCCAAGGAGGCCGGAGCCGAGGCCGCGCCGGCGGCGACUGCUGCUCGAGGAGGGCUCAGCCUCCUGUCUCAGGGCGAGCUGGAGGAACCUUCUGCGCAGCAUUUGCACAACUAGAAGAGAAAACGGACUUGAAACUCCCACCUGCCAACUGGUUAUGAGAAAGUGCCAAACUAGGGCCAGCAGGAACUACUGUUCUUGGGAAUAGUAAGAAAUGCAAGCCAUUUGAAAGUUGAAGAUAGCAGUUUGAUGGACUGAAGGAGAAGGAAUGAGAGUCGAGAUUCAAAUAUACUGAGGAGCUUGAUCACUUCU